rnacentral:misc_RNA from 1 species
UUCGCACAGCGGUUUGAAAAGGAUACUAGUGGGUGAAGGCAUCACAGUAGAAGUGAAAGGAGCUCAAGAACUCUCUCUUUUCGACACUUUUGACCAUAGUUUCACAGUGAAUAGAAGUUUUAAGAUUAAAAAGUGGAGAACUGGCUUCUGCUCCUUUUGGCAGUCGUUGUGUAUGCCGUUACUUCCCAUACACAUUAUUGGGUCUGCAUCACUUACUGCAUUCAGGACCAGGAAUUAUGAUGCAUCUGUCGAAACAACUUUCUUGUCUGAAGAGACUAUUGAAUUACUACCUGCAAAAUGCUACAGUAACAAUGUGUACAAGAACAAAGCUAGGCUCAGUCAUUCCUUAAGUUUGAAGAUCAAUAUGCUAGGUAAACUAUUGAGGAGCUUUCUUGGUAACAGAAUGGCGAAAAAGUGGGUUUCAGGCUCUCUUAGAGCAAAUGCUAAAGCAGCAACCAUCAUUCGUUUUCAGUUGGAGAUAGAAAAGAAUAUUGCAAGGAAUGAAACUUUUGAUGAUGUGCUGGAAGACUGGAAAACAAGGCCUACAGUUGAACGGGUUUGGUUUGAAGUAAUGGCAAGAAUUGAAGCUGAAAAGUUGAUGCUCGGAAUGGUUAAGAAAGUCAGACCUUUUAUUGCAGUAGAUUCAGUUUCAUUGAGUAAUUUAAUGUCUAAUAUUUCAUUUACAAAAUUCCCAUCUAUUCUUGUACCGCCUGAGUCCUUAACACUGGAUGUGAAAUGGUAGGACGAAACUCUUGUAAACAGUUUUGAUUUGAAAAUAUUUACAUAUCAAAGCUGUGUAC